UAAAGGAAGCGAUUCCGGCUACGGAUGGUCAUGCGUCGCAUUAGCUAGUUGGCGGGGUAACGGCCCACCAAGGCGACGAUGCGUAGGGGUUCUGAGAGGAAGGUCCCCCACACUGGUACUGAGACACGGACCAGACUCCUACGGGAGGCAGCAGUGAGGAAUAUUGGUCAAUGGCCGCAGGGCUGAACCAGCCAAGUCGCGUGAGGGAUGACGGUCCUAUGGACUGUAAACCUCUUUUGUCAGGGAGCAAAGGGCGCCACGUGUGGCGCUUUGCGAGUACCUGAAGAAAAAGCAUCGGCUAACUCCGUGCCAGCAGCCGCGGUAAUACGGAGGAUGCGAGCGUUAUCCGGAUUUAUUGGGUUUAAAGGGUGCGCAGGCGGAAUGUCAAGUCAGCGGUAAAAUUUCGGGGCUCAACCCCGUCGUGCCGUUGAAACUGGCGUUCUUGAGUGAGCGAGAAGUAUGCGGAAUGCGUGGUGUAGCGGUGAAAUGCAUAGAUAUCACGCAGAACUCCGAUUGCGAAGGCAGCAUACCGGCGCUCAACUGACGCUCAUGCACGAAAGCGUGGGUAUCGAACAGGAUUAGAUACCCUGGUAGUCCACGCAGUAAACGAUGAAUACUAACUGUCCGGGCAGAAUGAUGCCUGG
rnacentral:rRNA from 1 species